ACCGGCCCUCAUCGACGCCGAUUUGGCAUACUCGCUCAGCGUAGUCGGUCAACAAAGGAGCCAAAAGCAUGUUUUACCGACAGCUGCUGUUCAGAUCUCUUGUAGCUUUUCAGCAACAAUUUGGGAAAUAACUUUU
ensembl:snoRNA